rnacentral:rRNA from 1 species
UACAGAGGGUGCGAGCGUUAAUCGGAAUUACUGGGCGUAAAGCGUGCGUAGGCGGUUGUGCAAGACAGAUGUGAAAUCCCCGGGCUUAACCUGGGAACUGCAUUUGUGACUGCACGGCUAGAGUGUGUCAGAGGGGGGUAGAAUUCCACGUGUAGCAGUGAAAUGCGUAGAUAUGUGGAGGAAUACCGAUGGCGAAGGCAGCCCCCCUGGGAUAACACUGACGCUCAUGCACGAAAGCGUGGGUAGCAAACAGG